CCUACGGGGGGCAGCAGUAGGGAAUAUUGCUCAAUGGGGGAAACCCUGAAGCAGCAACGCCGCGUGGAGGAUGAAGGUUUUAUGAUUUUAAAACCCUUUUUUUAGAGAAGAUAAUGACGGUAUCUAACGAAUAAGCACCGUCUAACUCCGUGCCAGCAGCCGCGGUAAUACGGAGGGUGCAAGCGUUAUUCGGAAUCACUGGGCGUAAAGCGCGCGUAGGCGGGAUAGCAGGUCAGAUGUGAAAUCCUAUGGCUUAACCAUAGAAUUGCAGUUGAAACUGUUAUUCUAGAGUAUGGUAGAGGUAGGUGGAAUUCGUGGUGUAGCGGUGAAAUGCGUAGAGAUCACGAAGAAUACUCAUUGCGAAGGCGACCUGCUAGAACAUAACUGACGCUGAUGCGCGAAAGCGUGGGGAGCAAACAGGAUUAGAUACCCGAGUAGUC
rnacentral:rRNA from 1 species